UUAAAUACUUUAUUUUUAAGUAAUCUCUACACCUAAUGUGAAGCUUGAACCCACAAUCCUAAGAUGAAGAGUCACAUGUUUCACCAACUGAGCCAUCCAGGUGCACAAACUCCCUACU